rnacentral:rRNA from 1 species
AUUGAACGCUGGCGGCAUGCUUUACACAUGCAAGUCGAACGGUAACAGGCCGCAAGGUGCUGACGAGUGGCGCACGGGUGAGUAAUGCAUCGGAACGUGCCCAAUCGUGGGGGAUAACUACUCGAAAGAGUAGCUAAUACCGCAUACGAUCUAUGGAUGAAAGCGGGGGACCGUAAGGCCUCGCGCGAUUGGAGCGGCCGAUGUCAGAUUAGGUAGUUGGUGGGGUAAAGGCUCACCAAGCCAACGAUCUGUAGCUGGUCUGAGAGGACGACCAGCCACACUGGGACUGAGACACGGCCCAGACUCCUACGGGAGGCAGCAGUGGGGAAUUUUGGACAAUGGGCGCAAGCCUGAUCCAGCAAUGCCGCGUGCAGGAAGAAGGCCUUCGGGUUGUAAACUGCUUUUGUACGGAACGAAACGGCUCUGGUUAAUACCCGGGGCUAAUGACGGUACCGUAAGAAUAAGCACCGGCUAACUACGUG